AUCGAACGCUGGCGGCAGGCCUAACACAUGCAAGUCGAGCGAGCGGCGGACGGGGGAGUAAUGUCUGGGAACCUGCCUGAUGGAGGGGGAUAAGCACUGGAAACGGUUGCUAAUACCGCAUACAAUCAGAUGUGGCCAGAGGGGAUUAGCUAGGAGGUGGGGUAACGGCUCACCUAGGCGACGAUCCCUAGCUGGUCUGAGAGGUUGACCGGCCACACUGGGACGGAGACACGGUCCAGACUCCGACGGGAGGCAGCAGUGGGGAAUAUUGCACAAUGGGCGCAAGUCUGAUCCAGCCACGCCGCGUGUGUGAAGAAGGCCUUCGGGUUGUAAAGCACUUUCGUCGGGGAGGCGUUACCCGCAGAAGAAGCACCGGCUAACUCCGUGCCAGCAGCCGCGGUAAUUC
rnacentral:rRNA from 1 species